rnacentral:rRNA from 2 species
CGCCCCGCAAGGGGAGCGGCAGACGGGUGAGUAACGCGUGGGAACGUACCAUUUGCUACGGAAUAACUCAGGGAAACUUGUGCUAAUACCGUAUGAGCCCGAAAGGGGAAAGAUUUAUCGGCAAAUGAUCGGCCCGCGUUGGAUUAGCUAGUUGGUGGGGUAAAGGCCUACCAAGGCGACGAUCCAUAGCUGGUCUGAGAGGAUGAUCAGCCACACUGGGACUGAGACACGGCCCAGACUCCUACGGGAGGCAGCAGUGGGGAAUAUUGGACAAUGGGCGCAAGCCUGAUCCAGCCAUGCCGCGUGAGUGAUGAAGGCCCUAGGGUUGUAAAGCUCUUUCACCGGUGAAGAUAAUGACGGUAACCGGAGAAGAAGCCCCGGCUAACUUCGUGCCAGCAGCGGCGGUAAUA